UACGUAGGGGGCGAGCGUUGUCCGGAUUUAUUGGGCGUAAAGAGCGUGUAGGCGGCCUGAUAAGUCGGCUGUGAAAGUCAAGGGCUCAACCCUUGAAUGCCGGCCGAUACUGUCAGGCUAGAGUCCGGAAGAGGCGAGUGGAAUUCCUGGUGUAGCGGUGAAAUGCGCAGAUAUCAGGAGGAACACCUAUGGCGAAGGCAGCUCGCUGGGACGGUACUGACGCUGAGACGCGAAAGCGUGGGGAGCGAACAGG
rnacentral:rRNA from 1 species